rnacentral:rRNA from 1 species
AACGAACGCUGGCGGCAGGCCUAAAACAUGCAAGUCGAACGGGUGUAGCAAUACAUCAGUGGCGCACGGGUGAGUAACGCGUGGGAACAUGCCCCUUAGUACGGGACAACGUCGGGAAACUGACGCUAAUACCGUAUAAUAUCUCCGGAUCAAAGAUUUAUCGCUGAGGGAGUGGCCCGCGUCUGAUUAGCUAGUUGGUGGGGUAAUGGCUCACCAAGGCGACGAUCAGUAGCAGGUCUGAGAGGAUGAUCUGCCACACUGGGACUGAGACACGGCCCAGACUCCUACGGGAGGCAGCAGUGAGGAAUAGUGGACAAUGGGCGAAAGCCUGAUCCAGCCAUGCCGCGUGUGUGAUGAAGGCCUUAGGGUUGUAAAGCACUUUCGUUGGGGAUGAUAAUGACCGUACCCAAAGAAGAAGCACCGGCUAACUUCGUGCCAGCCGCCGCGGUAA